rnacentral:tRNA from 1 species
GGGCGCUUGGCACAGGGGUAGCGCGCACGCUUCGCACUACGAGAAUGCGUGAGGUCGUGGGUUCAAAUCCCACAGUGUCCA